AACGAACGCUGGCGGCAUGCCUAACACAUGCAAGUCGAACGAGACCUUCGGGUCUAGUGGCGAACGGGUGCGUAACGCGUGGGAACCUGCCCUUAGGUUCGGAAUAACUCCCCGAAAGGGGUGCUAAUACCGGAUAAUGUCUUCGGACCAAAGAUUUAUCGCCUUUGGAUGGGCCCGCGUUGGAUUAGCUAGUUGGUAGGGUAAAAGCCUACCAAGGCGACGAUCCAUAGCUGGUCUGAGAGGAUGAUCAGCCACACUGGGACUGAGACACGGCCCAGACUCCUACGGGAGGCAGCAGUGGGGAAUAUUGGACAAUGGGCGAAAGCCUGAACCAGCAAUGCCGCGUGAGUGAUGAAGGCCUUAGGGUUGUAAAGCUCUUUUACCCGGGAUGAUAAUGACAGUACCGGGAGAAUAAGCUCCGGCUAACUCCGUG
rnacentral:rRNA from 1 species